rnacentral:lncRNA from 1 species
CCGCAUCCUCCAUGAACGCCGUUGUUCCGGCAAGUUUCCUGCAGCCGGAGCUCCGCAGGCCGGACCCGAGUCCCUUCCUUGUCCUUCUCCCUGCUCUCUUCCUUCUGUUCCUCUCUCUCGUUCUCUGUGUGUCUCUCAUCUCUUUCUCUUUUCUUAUGUGCAGACCCUCCAUGGCAUCGCCCCAAGGAGCUCGCCCUUGGUCGGUCUCGUGGCGCCAGCCGCCGCCGCCACCCGGAAUGGAACCGCGACGCCAAGGCCGUCUGGAUCCGACUCUAGCUCGCCCCUGCAGGCCAGCCCCGCCUCCAAGAUCCUCCCAUGGUGUGGCAGCAGUUCACUCCGCUUCAGUCAGAGGGCAUCGGAGUGAGCAGAGGCGGCACCAGGUCGGACUCGCCCCCAGGAGCUUCCCUGGCUGCAAGAGCAGCAAGUUCCGUGACCCACAACCUUUUCCGCCGGUGUGCUCUCAGAUCCGGCCGCCCCAGUAUCGUCAUGACCGUCGGCCCCUUCGUUUCCUCUGUGAGCAAGUCCGCCCAUACCUGAAACUGUGUUUCUGUUUGAAGUUUCGCCAGUUAACGCCUUGAAUGGUUAUGAAGUGCUAAGAUGCUUCUGUUAUCGAUGUUCUAGCUUAGCGUACUGGUCAGCGCACUCGGUAGUAAGCGCGAGGUCCAGGGAUCGAUUCCCACAUCUCCUCAAAACUUUUGCGUGGACUUUUUUUCAAUCAGGUUUGUUAGAGUUGCUGGUUGAAUAAUGUUAGUUCUGUCAACAAGAUAGAAACACUCAGCCAACCUAAUGGUAAGCACUCCACUUUCACGUAGGUUAAUAUUUUUCAACUCUUAUACAUAUUUAAAACCGGUUAGAGUUGCUGGUUGAAUAAUGUUAGUUCUGUCAACAAGAUAGAAACACUCAGCCAACCUAAUGGUAAGCACUCCACAAACAUGUAGAAUUUCACGUAGAUUAAUAUUUUUCAACUCUUAUACAUAUUUAAAACCGUUAACCUUGCUGUUUGCCUCGUUUUGCUUGUCGUGCCGUGCUAUAACGGUUUAAUUCGUAGCUAGUGAUCCGUAGCUCCGUUGGAGAUGAGCCAUAUAUGUAAAUGGACUAGAGCGACGAGUAGACUCACGUGAACCACUUUGUUUUGACGCUUAACAAACAUAAAAGGUGAUUAGGACAAAUCUGGACAAAUUUCGAAAGUAACGCGUGCGGUCGUUUCGGAGAUGUUAUAUGUCAUUUCCGGCCUCAUUUUAAAUGCCUACAUAGGUAGUUUAAUUUGUGCUUCACCUCAUGCUAUGUUUAACAACAUUUAAUUUUUCCUUGAGAUUAAACAAGAGUGAACUAAAUAAUUAAACGUGGAGUUUUGUCAAUAUGCAAAUCGUUGCAUAUUGAGCUUCACUUAAUGUGUAGUGUUUGAUUGUGUGAUUUUUCAUGCCAUGCCUUGCAUUUUCGAAUUGUUCAUGCAUCCUAUUAGGGUGUGCAUCAUGUCGGACAAUUGUUGUGGGGAAUAUCGUCUGUUGAUUCUGGUUUUCGGCUUGCUUCGUCUCGAUAGAGUUCUUCAAGCAUGUCAGAAUGUGAGGAUCCGUUCGACUACGUCGGUUCAUCUGCUUCACAAAGUCGUUCUUCUUCCAAGCGGGAUCACAUGCAAGAAGAUCAUUUCCCCAGAUACCAUUACUAUCAUUGCCAUCCUAUUUGUCUCGUUUCUUUCGUUAUGUCGCGCUGCCUCCCUCUGUUAAAUGUCAGCCUCUCAACAUUGCCAUGAAACCUUCAACCUUUAUACAACCUAGCAACCACUGAUUGGCUAUGUUACCGCUUGCUUAACCUUUGGAUAGAGUUGCUAGUUGCAACUGCAGUUUCUUCCAUGUGCAAACAUGAGUUCCUUGUUAUAUCACCCUCUUAAUGCUAUUUAAUUUAAUGCACCUAUAUACUUGGUAAAAGGUGGAAGGCUUGGCCUUUCUAGCCUAGUGUUUUGUUGCACAUUUGUCGCCUUAGUUCCGGCGGUGUUAUGUUCCAUAAAUGAGCCCUCCUAGCAUGUUUGGGGUUGUUAUGGGGACCCCCUAGAUUCUCGUUUUGGAAUAAAGCUCAUCUGGCAAGCCCCAAAAUUGGUACUAUUUUGCCCAACAUAAAAAUUCUGUUAAUACUGAAAAACAUAGGGAG